CCUACGGGAGGCAGCAGUGAGGAAUAUUGGUCAAUGGGCGCGAGCCUGAACCAGCCAAGUCGCGUGAAGGAUGACUGCCCUACGGGUUGUAAACUUCUUUUGUAAAGGAAUACAGUGAGUCACGUGUGCCUUUUUGUAUGUACUUUAUGAAUAAGGAUCGGCUAACUCCGUGCCAGCAGCCGCGGUAAUACGGAGGGUCCGAGCGUUAUCCGGAUUUAUUGGGUUUAAAGGGAGCGUAGAUGGGUUGUUAAGUCAGUGGUGAAAGUUUGCGGCUCAACCGUAAAAUUGCAAUUGAUACUGGCAGUCGUGAGUACAGGUGAGGUAGGCGGAAUUCGUGGGGUAGCGGUGAAAUGCGUAGAUAUCACGAAGAACUCCGAUUGCGAAGGCAGCUUACUAAACUGCCACUGACAUUGAGGCUCGAAAGCGUGGGUAUCAAACAGGAUUAGAUACCCUAGUAGUC
rnacentral:rRNA from 1 species